rnacentral:rRNA from 1 species
AGUGAACGCUGGCGGUAGGCCUAACACAUGCGAGUCGAACGGCAGCACAGUAAGAGCUUGCUCUUACGGGUGGCGAGUGGCGGACGGGUGAGGAAUACAUCGGAAUCUACUUUUUCGUGGGGGAUAACGUAGGGAAACUUACGCUAAUACCGCAUACGACCUACGGGUGAAAGCAGGGGAUCUUCGGACCUUGCGCGAUUGAAUGAGCCGAUGUCGGAUUAGCUAGUUGGCGGGGUAAAGGCCCACCAAGGCGACGAUCCGUAGCUGGUCUGAGAGGAUGAUCAGCCACACUGGAACUGAGACACGGUCCAGACUCCUACGGGAGGCAGCAGUGGGGAAUAUUGGACAAUGGGCGCAAGCCUGAUCCAGCCAUACCGCGUGGGUGAAGAAGGCCUUCGGGUUGUAAAGCCCUUUUGUUGGGAAAGAAAAGCAGCAGGCUAAUACCCCGCUGUUCUGACGGUACCCAAAGAAUAAGCACCGGCUAACUUCGCG